rnacentral:pre_miRNA from 1 species
CAUGUACUCCCUUCGUUCAGAAAUGUUUGUCACAUGAAUGAAUGUAUCUAGAUGUAUUUUAGUUCUAAAUACAUUCAUAUUUAUAUAUUUACGCGACAAGUAAUUCCGGACGCAGUGAGUAUUAU